rnacentral:lncRNA from 1 species
AGUGGGAGACAAGCCAAUUUGGGAGCAGAUAGGAUCCAGCUUCAUUCCACAUUACUACCAGUUAUUUGAUAACGAUAGACCCCAACUAGGCGCAAUUUACAUUGACGCAUCAUGCCUUACGUGGGAAGGACAACAGUUCCAGGGGAAAGCUGCCAUUGUGGAGAAGUUGUCUAGCCUUCGGUUCCAGAAAAUCCAGCACAGCAUCACCGCGCAGGACCAUCAGCUCACGCCGCAUAGCUGCAUCAUCAGCAUGGUUGUGGGCCAGCUUAAGGCGGAUGAAGACCGCCAUCAUGGGGUUCCACCAGAUGUUCCUAUUAAAGAACAUCAACAAUACUUGGGUUUGCACCAAUGACAUGUUCAGGCUCGCCCUGCACAACUUUGGCU